UACGUAGGGUGCGAGCGUUAUCCGGAAUUAUGGUGCGUAAAGAGCUCGUAGGCGGUGUGUCACGUCGGCCGUGAAAACCUGCAGCUUAACUGUGGGCGUGCGGUCGAUACGGGCAUCACUGGAGUUCGGCAGGGGAGACUGGAAUUCCUGGUGUAGCGGUGAAAUGCGCAGAUAUCAGGAGGAACACCGGUGGCGAAGGCGGGUCUCUGGGCCGAUACUGACGCUGAGGAGCGAAAGCGUGGGGGAGCAAACAGG
rnacentral:rRNA from 1 species